UACGAGUGCCUCAAGCGUUAUCCGGAUUUACUAGGCGUAAAGGAUGUGUAGGUGGUCGUGUUAGUCUUUUGUAAAAUUCUUCGGCUUAACCGGGGGCGCGCAAGGGAAGCGGCACGACUAGAGGAUGCGAGGGGUCUGUGGAACUCAUAGUGUAGCGGUGAAAUGCGUUGAUAUUAUGGGGAACACCAAAAGCGAAGGCAGCAGACUGGAGCACUCCUGACACUGAAACAUGAAAGCGUGGGUAGCGAAUGGG
rnacentral:rRNA from 1 species